CCGUUCGCGUGACGGGUGUAUUUAGGCGCAUCAAACGGCGAGUAAAGCAGUGCAGCAGCAGCGUAGCGCAAAGCUGAGCUGAGCAGAGCAGUGUUGUGUGGAAUAUUAAAGCACAAUAGUGAAUUGGCUGUCCCGAUAAUCGUCAAUGAGAACAGCUGAUGGUUGAAAUAUUUUGUGAAAAAAACACGAGUGAUCAAAAAAAUUUUAAUUUAUACAUUUGAUGAAAGAGAACCAAUCGCUGGUGUUUUCAUGAUUUUCGGUUUUCAAGAUUAGCCUAUAAUUAAGAAAGGUGUUGCGGCAAUUCUUGCAAUGCGUUGCCGCAAAGCUGACCAUUGUAGUGCGCUAACAACAGAUGGUACAUGACGACGUACAUUAGUGGAAUAAUAAAAAGAAAAUAUUUACUAGCACCAUGUGAAUUAUCAUAAAUUUGAAAUAAGAAUAAUAACAAAAUAUGCAACAACCGACUAUAGCAAGCGCACAAGAAAAAUGUGAAAGUGUUAGUGACACAUAAAUAAAGAUAAAUAGCACAUCCGUAGAAAUCUCCAGCUUCCUGCGGAAGUCAUUACGCUUACGAAUGAGUUGGCGCAUGUGAAAGUGAGUGUGCUGUUUUUGUAAAAAAUACGUAAGAGUAAAUACUCGUACGUGUGUGUGCACCUAUAAACAUCCAUAUGCUUGUAAAUAUUUGUAUAAAUCUAUUGUCGUGCCCACCUGCAGGUUUCAGGCACACAUGUGUACAUACAAACUGAUAUAGUGAGAUCCCGUGCUAUGGCAGCAGCCAUGGCGUAUGAGCAACAUAUUUUAUGCAAUUUAAUUUGCACCCAGUGCAUAUAUGCGGACGCUCAUGUGUAUGCGUGGAUGUACAUAUAUCCGUGAUUGUUUUAUUUAUUUCUACUUCAAGUACUUUUGCAGAUUGGAUUUGUGCCAAAGUGAAGCAUGUGCCACGGAGAGCUGACAGUACGUUGGAAACGUCAUUAUGCAUUUAAAGAACCUUCAACUCACAUGAAAAUCAACUCUGCUAAAAUCACACCAGCUAAUAGCUAACGUAUGUUUAAAAAGUAAAAUAAAAUAAAGAAUAAAACAAAAUCUGAAGAAACUACAAUAAUAAACUGUGUCAUAUGCACUGAAAAUUAAGCAACACACAAAAAAAAAAAUCAAAUAAAUCAUGGCAACAGCAGCCAACUGUGAAAAUUCCCGCGAGUCGGAAAAAGUGAAAUUGUGCGCGAAAAUUUCGAAUGAUUACUUUCGAUAAACAUAAAAUCAUCAAAAUUUGUGUAGAUUAAAAACGGUGCAAAUUCACUGAACAAAGAAAAAAAACAAAGACAAAGAAACAACUGCCAUAGCGAAAAGCGGCACAUUUAAAUAUUUGAAACAAAAAACCAAGUGGAACAAAUUUGGCAAAAAAUAAAAACAAAAAAACGAAACUAAAUGAAAUGCAAAAGUGUUGUCGUGCAACAAACCGCGUAAAAACAUGCGCGAGUGCUUGAAAACUUGAAUAUCAGCGAAGCGAAAACAAAGAAAGUCUUUGCUACACUACAUUUUAAAUGGAAAAGUGAAUGAAAAAAGCAAAUCGAAAAUCUAGUUCAGCAAAUUGUGAAAAUGCUUUGCCAAGCACAAACUAUCGGAAUUGUGGUGACUUAAAGGCGUGCUAGCGUUGCAAACUGUCGUCACGUAAAACUAUGCGCUAAUAUCCAAAUAUAUACGUAUAGAUGUGUGUGUGUGUGUACGUAUACGUGUUCGUGUCUGUGUUCGUGUCUGUGUUCGUGUCUGUGUUCGUGCGCUCAUACUCUUUUGAGACUUUGACAGCAGUACCAGAGCGCGUUUAGCAUAAAUAAAAUAUUUUCGAUAAUUUCAAUGCAUACAUUUUGAAUGAAACAACAACAACACAAGCAGCUGAGCUAAAAAUUACUGAAAUUUGUGACAUACACACAUACGUAGGUAGGUAUACGUGUGCGUGCAAGAGCAUUUAACAGACGUUGAAAAUGUGUAGCAUAUUCCCAGGCGCGCUUAUGUAUGCACAUAGAUGAGUUUGUGUGAAAAUGCUAAAAUUAUUUUCAACUAAAUAUUGCCCCAGCAACAAUGCAAACAACAAACUUGUAGUGGUAAAAAAUAAAUGAACGAAAGAGUAUUUGCAUUUCCACACAUGCACAAUUUUCAUUUCAUGUGUUCGUGUGCAUGUGUGUGACAUGCUCAUGUGCAGAAUUAGUGCUGAGUAUAGCUGACAAGGCAUUCGAUGAUUCCUGUGUUACCCAGCGAAACGCGUUCGCAUAAGGAGGUAUGCGCGCAUAUACAGAUAUGCGCAUACAUACAUUUGUAUAUGUGUGGGUGUGUGCUUCAAUAAUGCAACAGCCGCUGAAAUGUGGCAGCAGCUGCUAAAGCGUUGACAAUUGCAAAUUUCCUAUACAUACAUAUAUAUACAUGCGUAUGUAUUCAAGUGGAUAUGCGCAGAUAGUUGUCAAACUGACAUUCAAAAUAACAUACACACAUACACGCAAAGACAGCAGCAUAGUUGAAAUCAUUAAUAAUAAAAUAGUGAGAGAAAAAGUGGAAUAUGCUGGAAACUAUGUCAAUGUCAUGAAAAUAAAAAUAAAUGAAAACAAACACACAAAUAAAAAAAUUAAAAAUUCGUUCUAGGGUCUUCUAGCUUACCACCAGCGGUGCUCUGAACUCCCCUGAACAGCUCUCGUUGACCUUAUUGCCGGUCAUGUAAACAGAAAAAAACUCGACAAAAGUGCGCUAGUGCUUGGAGUUGGGUAAACAAUAAUUUGUAAAUUUGUGGCAAAAGUUUUAUGUUGGUCAACAAGUGAAGGUCCAAGUGCAAGUUCAACAAAGAAGAAUAUAAUGCACACUGUAGAAAUAAAAACUGAACAAAAAAACAAAAAAAAAAUAAGAAAUUAAAAAAAUUUAAUUAAAUCCAGCACAACAACAUAGCGGAAUUGCUCAAUUUUAGCGAAUUAGAAUUGAGUGCUCUUCAAAGAGAAUUCAUAAGAAUAAAGUAAUCAAAUUUCGCAAUCCAACAUGUUCACGCAGCGUAGGCCGAGUGGCCAGCAGACCGGCAACAAUUUGCUGCGCAUCACUAUGAUGAUAGUCUUCGGUUUGGCGAAUCUAAAUAAUG